rnacentral:rRNA from 1 species
GAUGAACGCUAGCUACAGGCUUAACACAUGCAAGUCGAGGGGCAGCAUGAAUAUUGGCUUGCCAAUAUUUGAUGGCGACCGGCGCACGGGUGAGUAACACGUAUCCAACCUUCCGGUUACUCGGGGAUAGGCUUUCGAAAGAAAGAUUAAUACCCGAUGUUGUGUAUCUUUCUCCUGAAAGAUACGCCAAAGGAUUCCGGUAACCGAUGGGGAUGCGUUCCAUUAGGCAGUUGGCGGGGUAACGGCCCACCAAACCUUCGAUGGAUAGGGGUUCUGAGAGGAAGGUCCCCCACAUUGGAACUGAGACACGGUCCAAACUCCUACGGGAGGCAGCAGUGAGGAAUAUUGGUCAAUGGACGGAAGUCUGAACCAGCCAAGUAGCGUGAAGGAUGACUGCCCUCUGGGUUGUAAACUUCUUUUAUACGGGAAUAACAUGAGGUACGCGUACCUUAUUGCAUGUACCGUUAUGAAUAAGCAUCGGCUAACUCCGUGCCAGCAGCCGCGGUAAUACGGAGGAUGCGAGCGUUAUCCGGAUUUAUUGGGUUUAAAGGGAGCGUAGGUGGGAUAUUAAGUCAGCUGUGAAAGUUUGGGGCUCAACCUUAAAAUUGCAGUUGAUACUGGUUUCCUUGAGUACGGUACAGGUGGGCGGAAUUCGUGGUGUAGCGGUGAAAUGCUUAGAUAUCACGAAGAACUCCGAUCGCGAAGGCAGCUCACCGGGCCGGAACUGACACUGAUGCUCGAAAGUGCGGGUAUCAAACAGGAUUAGAUACCCUGGUAGUCCGCACAGUAAACGAUGAAUACUCGCUGUUUGCGAUACACUGUAAGCGGCCAAGCGAAAGCGUUAAGUAUUCCACCUGGGGAGUACGCCGGCAACGGUGAAACUCAAAGGAAUUGACGGGGGCCCGCACAAGCGGAGGAACAUGUGGUUUAAUUCGAUGAUACGCGAGGAACCUUACCCGGGCUUAAAUUGCGCUGGCUUUUACCGGAAACGGUAUUUUCUUCGGACCAGCGUGAAGGUGCUGCAUGGUUGUCGUCAGCUCGUGCCGUGAGGUGUCGGCUUAAGUGCCAUAACGAGCGCAACCCUUAUCUUUAGUUACUAACAGUUUUGCUGAGGACUCUAAAGAGACUGCCGUCGUAAGAUGCGAGGAAGGUGGGGAUGACGUCAAAUCAGCACGGCCCUUACGUCCGGGGCUACACACGUGUUACAAUGGGGAGCACAGCAGGUUGCUACACGGCGACGUGAUGCCAAUCCGUAAAACUCCUCUCAGUUCGGAUCGAAGUCUGCAACCCGACUUCGUGAAGCUGGAUUCGCUAGUAAUCGCGCAUCAGCCACGGCGCGGUGAAUACGUUCCCGGGCCU